AAGACGACUGGCCAGGAGGAACAUUGGACGGUGUUGAUAAUGAUGUCGAAGAAAGAACAAAAGCAAAAGCCUGUGGUAGUGGCGAGCAAGAAGUAUCCAAUGACAGUGAGGUGGCAGCCAACUCAGACCACGAUGAAGAAAUAUUUGAUGAUAUAGAAGAUGAUUGUCCAAAUAAAUCUUCUGAAGUACUGGAUUUAGAAGUAGCAGAUGAAGAUAUCAAAUCAGAAAGCCGAGACAGUUUCGAAUCAGGUGAG